AACCCUCUUCGGAGGGGAGUACAGCGGCGAACGGGUGAGUAACACGUGGGCAACCUGCCCCAAGGAGCGGGACAACCCGGGGAAACCCGGGCUAAUACCGCAUGAUCCGCGAUGCCUCAAGGCAUCUCGGGAAAUGGUAGCUUCGGCCUCCGCCUUGGGAUGGGCCCGCGGCGCAUUAGCUUGUUGGUGAGGUAACGGCCCACCAAGGCGACGAUGCGUAGCUGGUCUGAGAGGACGAUCAGCCACACUGGGACUGAGACACGGCCCAGACUCCUACGGGAGGCAGCAGUGGGGAAUCUUGCGCAAUGGGCGGAAGCCUGACGCAGCAACGCCGCGUGAGGGAAGACGGCCUUCGGG
rnacentral:rRNA from 1 species